CCAUGGUUUCUAAUAAAAAAAAAAAAAAAAAAAAACCCGCUUCCCAGUUCCUUUCAAAAACUCUUUGUUUCCAGUUACGCUAAAACGAUCUUUUUGCUUUUUGAUUUUUCCAGAAAAAGAAGCAGAAGAAGAAGGAAGAUGAAAAACAAAAUCCAAAACUUAGAUGAGAAAGAAGUAAGCGAUCAGAGGUGCCAUCUCCGAUUCUCUCACACAAUGGCCACCGAUUCAUCAGACCAACUCAAUCUCAACCCUAUUACUACUACAGAAGAAAACCCUAAACAAACCCUAGACGACGACACUACUACUGCUGUCACGCCCAUCAGAUCGCCUCGAAGAAGAAGAAAAGGAAGAACCAACCGAUGAGGCUUCCGAUCAGCCUUCUGUAACCACCGUCGAUUUCGAUGCGAAGUACGGCGAGGAUUCAAAGAGCACUAUAGCCGCUGCCUAUAGCAGGGGAUGUUGUUGAUCUGGAUAUGGCUUCCAAUCGUUUCACUCCGCACUCCAAGUACAAAUAUAGAAAAGUUACUGGAUUCUCUAAUAGGAGAAUUAUCGUUGGGUUCUCUACAAUAAAAUGAAAGGUCAAAGCUAAUUGGUUGUGUUAUGUGGAAUCUACAAUUGUAUAGGAACCUUGCUCUUUUAUAGUUUUAGAGUUAAAACAAGGACAGGUUCCAUGUGCUUUUCCAUCUUGCAAGUUCCUAGAUGUAGAAUUCCCAUCUUAGCUACUUUUUGGAGGGAAAGCUUCCACAGUUUGAGUAGGACUGACAAAAACAGUUUAGCUUUAUGCUACUUGGUUCUAAUAUCUAUGGGCUUGAGAGAGGUUACAAUAGAAAAUGGACUCGGAAGUCCUAUAUUUACAAAAAGUGAUACAUUUAGUGUAAAUAACACAGAGAUUAGUCAAUUCCACAAUAAUGAAUAUUGUGAAUCAUAAGAUUCACUUCCUAUAGAUUAUUGAAAUAAAACAAAACUUAUAUGUGACUACCUUCAAAAGAAUAAUCUACGGUAUAAUUGUUUUUAUUGUGUAUGUCUUAGUGUUUUGGAUUUGAGUACUUAUAGAUGAUUUACUUUUAUUUAUUUAUUUUAUGAAUAGAUGAUUACAUAAUAAUGGGUGAAAAGUUUCAUGAAUUCCAUAACUUGGGUGUGUGUAUAAUCUAAUAUAUCUAUUUUGUUUAUCACUACGAGGUUUGUUGUUAACAAAUUUUCUCUGUAUCAUUGCAGCUUUUUCGGGAUUGUCAUUUUUAUUUUAUUUUUUUUUUUUUUUGCAAUUGAAAUUUAGGGUCAAGAUUAAGAUUCAAUGUUGUUUUUAUGGGUUAUGACUUAUGGAUUGGUUUGGUUUUAGAAUUUGAGAUUCCCAUCUACUAUUGAUUAUGCAUUUUAUUUGUUGUAGGUGGAAUUCUGUUUUGUUUAUAUAUUGUGGCUUGAUUAUGCACUACAAAUUUUUUUUCUUUUGCAAUGUCCCUUUUAAGGGUUAUAUAUUGGUUUGGUUUUAGAAUUUGAUAUUCCAAUGUACUAUUGAUUAUGCAUUAUUAUUUGACUACUAUUUUUCUGACUUUCUGUUUCACAAACCAGUAGCCAUUUUUCUCUUUUAAACUUUUUGGUUGUAAAAUUCUCUAACCUCAUGGUUUAUUUCAUUGUGGUUCCUAGGAAUAGCAGACUUGCUAUUUGAAAUUGUCAUGUAAGUUUUAAUUGCUUAUAAUCAGAUUCUUUUUUUUUUUUUAAUCUCUCAUAACAGGGAAGUACACACGAGUGAUUUGAAGAAACUAAUUUCUAAAAAUUUAGGGGAUAUUGGAUACUAUAUGCUUAAAUAUACUAUGUUAUUUAAUAUGUAAAACGAUCUUGCGCAUUGUGUGGGUUAAACACUAGUUUAUUUAUUAUUUUAGAAUCAAUACCUUGAUUCAUCUUAAUGAACAGUAUCCAUUUCGUGCCAAAUUUUUUACACUGCAUCAUUGUACCUCGUUAAGGCUGUGUGUAUCUUGAUUCUUGUGGAAUCAACGUCCCAUGUAUUAUUUGUGGAGUCGUUGUUUUGCCUUUGAAGUGUGAGAAGUUAUGGAGUGUUCAGUAUUAUUUGUGGAGCAGUCCUUUUGCGUUUGAAGUGUGGGAAAUUUCAAAGUGCUCAGAAUUAGGAAGCACAAAAAUAUCAAGGGGGAAAGUUCAGAGUGUAUUUACCAAAUCCAAAAUUGAAGUUAGCUCUUAUGUUUUGUGUAUAAAUGACAUUUCAAGGCCGUUUGAUGUGACGUUUGUACAAUUCAUGUAAACAAUUUAAGAAUCUAACGUAAUGGUCUGGCAUCUCCAUAAAAUUAUGCUUGUUGUAACAAAGAUCUAUGAUACGUAAAGGCUUAUGAAGCACUGGAUCAUAUGCGUUAUGCAUUUGAAAUUUCUCGAUGCGAACUUCAUAACUAUUUAUAAUACAUAGUCUAAGAAGUUUUGGGUUU